rnacentral:lncRNA from 1 species
CUACUUCCAUGGCCACGGCCCCUGGUUACCGAUGCCCCAUUACUCACCGUGUCCUGAAGGUCGGGGGGGUCCCGGUAUGAGCCCCCCAAAGCGCUGCGCUCUAUGACAGAGGAAACGACGCCCGGCGCGAGCAGAAGCAGCAGCCCCUAUACCUGACCUACUUUCCGCCUGGCUUGCCACUGAACGUCGCACCACUAACCUACUUUCCAGCCAAUGGCUUCUCCCCCCGCACCAAGCCCCGGCCCGCCCGCCGACCAAUCAUGGGACAUCUCCGCGCCGCCGCUGCCGAAUCGACAACGCAGAGAGGCCCUCUCGGCCCGCCUUCGCGGGCGCCAACCAAUCUGCGCCGUCAGCUGAAGCCUGUGAGAGCGUCAAAAUAGGGAUAACGCUGUGGUUGCCCCUGCCUGUUUAAAAGACGUUAUCAUUGCCACAACGCCAGAUGUACAUGUUUAUCGAAAGAUAAAUGUUGCAAACCAGCCUGAGAAAUCAAGUGGCAGCGCAGUUCUCAGAGGUGUUGUGAAGAUAGAAUGGACAAGAGAGUAACAUGUGAUGUCUUGAACAAUUUACGAUCUCCAGGAGUGAAAGGGAUGCCAGGUUCAAUGUAUGCAGAUUUUAAAAAUGACGUCCGGGUGCAGACAACAAAUCUCUUACAGCUUUCACAGAAGAAAACGUGGAGGGGAAAAAACCGCUUGGGUGAGACUGAAGAUGUAGAUAUUCUGUUCACCUUCCUCUCUUGACUGUUUCUUGGAUACACAUCUCUUUCUGAAGCAUUGCUGUAGCAAAAUACUGUACAUGGAAUAUAUUAAGUUGGUUUAGGUUUCCAGGCUUAGAAAAGCCUGGUGGCCACAUGCUUGUGAAGUGGGCUUCAACCCUGAAAAGCAUGUUCCAUAAUAGGUGAAUUAUAUUAAAAUACCUCAUGUGGCUCCACUCAAGAAAAUAGGAGAGACUGUGCUACUAUUGUGGUAGAAGCCUUGUUUGUUGAGCCUUUUCUUCUUCCAGUUCUUAGCUGAAGGAAAGAACAACUUAGAGGCCCUUAGUACCCAUUUGUUUCAAGGAAUUCAGGAUUUAACUGUUCAGUGGUAGUUCUUUGCAGGAAGACAAAGGCUGCAUCUCCACUUUCUGGUAGAAGCUGCGUGACCCAGGGAGGGAGGUGCCAGAAAAAAAAGUACCCUCCUUAUCUCCAGUUUGGAGUGAGGAGGUACCAUCUUCUGUGAUGCCUCUGUGCAGGAUGUGGGAAAGCACCCUAGAUAGAAGACACCUUCAUUGGUGAUCACAUUGGCAAAAGGAACCAGCAUGAUCGCUGCCAAAGAUGGAAAUGGGAUGGCAGCGGGCACCUUCUUGGACCAAUGAGGGUGCCCUGGAAGGGCAAGUGGAGAUGCUGCCAAACUCCUGGAGUUCUUCAGCAGUUCUGGCUGAGUCGGAUUUUAAAGCAUGAGUGUCAAAUUAAUCCUUAUGAAAUACUGCAAUUAUCUCCUACAAAAUAGG